GAUGAACGCUGGCGGCGUGCUUAACACAUGCAGGUCGAACGGUGAACACGGAGCUUGCUCUGUGGGAUCAGUGGCGAACGGGUGAGUAACACGUGAGCAACCUGCCCCUGACUCUGGGAUAAGCGCUGGAAACGGCGUCUAAUACUGGAUAUGUGACGUGACCGCAUGGUCUGCGUUUGGAAAGAUUUUUCGGUUGGGGAUGGGCUCGCGGCCUAUCAGCUUGUUGGUGAGGUAAUGGCUCACCAAGGCGUCGACGGGUAGCCGGCCUGAGAGGGUGACCGGCCACACUGGGACUGAGGCACGGCCCAGACUCCUACGGGAGGCAGCAGUGGGGAAUAUUGCACAAUGGGCGCAAGCCUGAUGCAGCAACGCCGCGUGAGGGAUGACGGCCUUCGGGUUGUAAACCUCUUUUAGCAGGGAAGAAGCGAAAGUGACGGUACCUGCAGAAAAAGCGCCGGCUAACUACGUG
rnacentral:rRNA from 1 species